UUCCUCCGAAGCCCUUCGUUUACUCUUUGACACACCUCACGUGCACCCCAUUCGCAAGGGCCCUUCGGGACCCGCGCGGUUUCAUCUCCGACUCGCAUGUCUACAGAAUGUCGAUAGCAUUUGAUAUAUAUAAAAAAUACAACUUUCAGCAACGGAUCUCUUGGCUCUCGCAUCGAUGAAGAACGCAGCGAAUCGCGAUAAGUAAUGUGAAUUGCAGAUUUUCCGUGAAUCAUCGAAUCUUUGAACGCACCUUGCGCUCCUUGGUAUUCCGAGGAGCAUGCCUGUUUGAGUGUCAUCGAAAUCUCAAACCAAGCUUUUCUUGACUUCGGUCGAAGGCUCGGGUUUGGACCGUUGGGAGUCUGCGGGCGACGCAUGUCGUCGGCUCUCCUGAAAUGCAUUAGCGGUGGGCAUGCAAGUCUUGCUUGGCACCAGCCUCUCCCGGCGUCAUAGUGAUCGUCGCGGGCUGUCCAGCUGCAAGGGACAUGUCCCAUGCUUCUCCAACUUUGCGAGCCCUCUCCUGGGCUCUGCGUUCGAAGGCUUGACCUCAAAUCAGGUAGGACUACCCGCUGAACUUAAGCAUAUCAAUAAGC
rnacentral:rRNA from 1 species